GACGAACGCUGGCGGCGUGCUUAACACAUGCAAGUCGAGCGAGGUCCAACCACUGGCAACAGUGGGGAAGACCUAGCGGCGAACGGGUGAGUAACACGUGAGGAACCUGGCCCCAGAGACCGGGAUAACCCUCCGAAAGGAGAGCUAAUACCGGAUGCCGUCAUCGGAUCGCAUGGUCUGAUGACGAAAUGGAUUCCGCUCUGGGAGGGCCUCGCGGCCUAUCAGCUUGNGGUGGGGUAACGGCCUACCAAGGCUUCGACGUCUAGCUGGUCUGAGAGGACGAUCAGCCACACUGGGACUGAGACACGGCCCAGACUCCUACGGGAGGCAGCAGUGGGGAAUCUUGCCCAAUGGGGGAAACCCUGAGGCAGCAACGCCGCGUGUGGGAUGACGGCC
rnacentral:rRNA from 1 species